rnacentral:rRNA from 1 species
CAAUAGCGUAUAUUAAAGUUGUUGCAGUUAAAAAGCUCGUAGUUGGAUUUCUGGUUCGAAUGUCCGGUCCGCUUGUAACUUGUUUGCGAGUGCGUACUAUGGAUGUUUGGGCCAUUUUUUGUGAGGAAAUUUACCUGUCAUUAAGUUGAUGGGUUUAUAGACUUGCAUCGUUUACUGUGAAAAAAUUAGAGUGUUUAAAGCAGGCGUUCGCUUCUUGAAUACAUUAGCAUGGAAUAAUAAGAUACGACUUUGGUGGUCUAUUUUGUUGGUUUGCACGCCAGAGUAAUGAUUAAUAGGGACAGUUGGGGGUAUUCAUAUUUCAGCGUCAGAGGUGAAAUUCUUGGAUCGCUGAAAGAUGAGCUUAGGCGAAAGCAUUUACCAAGGAUGUUUUCAUUA